GCGGCAGAAGUGGGCGAGGUUCGCGUGGGAGGAGGGACAUCGACUUAGUUUUUCUUGAGAGAUCUGACCGUGCCGUGGCUGCAGACCAUCUUCGCGUCAGCCACCGCCCUGGAUCACGCCAAGUGGGUUCCCAGCCCCUGCCGCCUCGUGAACUCCGCCAAAGUCAGCCACGGGAGAUUACCAUAUUCUAAAACUUCACCUGGACCGUUGGUGUGAACGCUGGGACGAAGAUCCAGGAGUUAGGAUAAGACUGAAUUGAACCCUAAAUCAGCUUCCGUGAUAAAACCGAGAGAUGGAGAAUUACUCAGCACAUUUUAUAUUGAUAAAAGUAAGUGAAAGCUAUUCUGACAUGUAGUUUUCUCUUUCGUGUGCUUCUUGGGUAUAGCUUAAACGAAGUAAGCCUCA
rnacentral:lncRNA from 1 species